rnacentral:tRNA from 1 species
AAUGAUGAGCCUGAUUAAAGGAAUAUCGUGAUAGGAUAUAACAUGUAGGGCAUAAUCCUACCCUCAUUA